UCCGUCCCGUCGAAGUCCUCUCACAAACCCUAGCGCUCUCUCUCUCUCUCUCUCUCUCUCCCUCUCUCCCUCUCUCUCUUCACCUGAAUUUCUCAACCAAUUUCCCACACUCACUUACUACCAUAGGGUUCAGAAACUAGGGUUUACUGUCGAUGUUCGAUUCGUUCACAAGACGACGAUGAACACCACCCCCACCUCCACCUCCGUGUGCGGCAACUGCGGCGUGGAGGAGCGCCGCCUCCUCCUCCUCCACCACGUCCGCCACCGCGGCCUCUUCCGCCGCCUCUGCACGUCCUGCGUCCUCCGUCUCCACCCCCAGUCAUUCUGCCCCACCUGCUUCCUCGUCUACUCCCCUCCCCUCCUCCCCCCACCCUCCUCCACCGACGCCGUCUCCUGCCUCAAGUGCGACUCCUUCUCCCACCCCCACUGCGCCGGCGGCCCCAACAGAUCGCCCGCCUCCCCCUACACCUGCCCGCCCUGCGCAAACCCUGGCACCCAGAUCUUCGACACCAGCAAGAGGGAGCUGGACAAGCGGGGGGCCAAGGUGCUCCUCGCCGCCGUCAGAGUCGCCGCGGGGUCGAUGAGCAAGGCAGCCGCUGGGGCGAGGGCGGAGGCCGAGAAGAGGGCCAAGGAGGCUGCUUUCGCGAGGAAGAGGGCGCGGGAGGCAUUGGAGCACGUGGCGUUCCUUGUUGCUAGGGAGAAAGUGAAGCGGAAGGAGUCGGUGGCAGCAGCGUCUGCUGAGGUUUCGGUUGCCAAGGAAAGGAAUCAUAAAGCUGCUCCCAUCAUGGAGCUGAACCGUGUUGGUAAUCAGCGUGCCGUAGAAGGAGUGGAUGGUCCUAAUGAGGUUUCGGCACGCUUGAAUGCCGUAGGCUUGAGAGAGAAGGAGAGAUUGCAAGGAUUUGGGGGACUGAGUGCGGUAUCGGGAAUACAGAAUAAUGGUGCUGGAAUGGCUGUUGAGAAUAAUGAAAGACCGAGAGUGAGUCCUGCUUCUAAUGUGGCAGCCCCAUUCACUCAGAAUAAUGUAAACGAGAGGUCUGAUAACUUAGGUCACUUAGAGAACACUAAUGCACAGGGGGAGAAAGUGAGCAAUGGGUUGUACUCAGUUCUUCCUGUAGGUGAUCAAAUGAAGCAUGUGCAAAGCAACCAUGGCAGGGAAGAGAAAAUGGGCUCUCAACAAUAAUCUGUGAUGAAUUGGGAACUAUGGCUAGAUGAUAAGAUCAAGGUCUAGAAGGUUUCUAAGAUACAUUCUCGGGUAGCUCUCUUGGGCUUUUGGACAGAAUGAGAUAGCUUAUGUUCGCAACAAAUUUUCAAGUUAUUAAGAACUUAAAGAGGCAAUGAGGACUCUACCUUUCCAUCUAUUUGCUGCCCAUUACUUUAUUAAAGAAAAUUCGCAGGCUAAGAUUAAUGUGCUGUUGGAACUUAGGGAAAGUGAGGGAAAAGAAAGGAAUGUUAAAAAGAUUUCUUUACCAUUGUUUGGUUAUAAGAGAAAGAGAAGCAGUGUUCUAAAUGGCUGCCGCUGAAAUGGCGGCCUCAGCGGCAGGUCGGCGCCAUGAUUUCACCCUCGACGGCUCAUUCGGUGGAUUUAGAGAUUUGGCAGAGCUUGGCGGCUAGGCAACUAAGAGAGAUUUGGUGGAGCUAGGCGGUGUCUUGGCGGGGCUUGGCGGAGCUAGGCGGCCAUCUUGGCGGGCUUGGCGGAGCUUAAUUGCCUUAAAAAUAUUUAAAAUAUUUUUUUUUGAAAAAAAACGCCGAAUCGCUCGGCAGCGGGUCGCCGCCCGACUAGUGCCGAGCGCCAUUUAGAACACUGAAGAGACGAGAAAACAACAAAUUCAAGAAAGGAAA